rnacentral:rRNA from 1 species
UACGUAGGGGGCUAGCGUUGUCCGGAAUCAUUGGGCGUAAAGAGCGUGUAGGCGGCUUGGUAAGUCCGCUGUGAAAGUCCAGGGCUCAACCCUGGAAAGCCAGUGGAUACUGUCAAGCUAGAGUCCGGAAGAGGCGAGUGGAAUUCCUGGUGUAGCGGUGAAAUGCGCAGAUAUCAGGAGGAACACCAAUGGCGAAGGCAGCUCGCUGGACGGUACUGACGCUGAGACGCGAAAGCGUGGGGAGCGAACAGG